GAUGAACGCUGGCGGCGUGCCUAAUACAUGCAAGUCGAGCGAACAGACGAGGAGCUUGCUCCUCUGACGUUAGCGGCGGACGGGUGAGUAACACGUGGAUAACCUACCUAUAAGACUGGGAUAACUUCGGGAAACCGGAGCUGAUACCGGAUAACAUGUUGAACCGCAUGGUUCAACAGUGAAAGACGGUUUUGCUGUCACUUAUAGAUGGAUCCGCGUCGCAUUAGCUAGUUGGUAAGGUAACGGCUUACCAAGGCAACGAUGCGUAGCCGACCUGAGAGGGUGAUCGGCCACACUGGAACUGAGACACGGUCCAGACUCCUACGGGAGGCAGCAGUAGGGAAUCUUCCGCAAAGGGCGAAAGCCUGACGGAGCAACGCCGCGUGAGUGAAGAAGGUCUUCGGAUCGUAAAACUCUGUUAUUAGGGAAGAACAAAUGUGUAAGUAACUAUGCACGUCUUGACGGUACCUAAUCAGAAAGCCACGGCUAACUACGUG
rnacentral:rRNA from 1 species